UACGUAGGCAGCUAGCGUUGUUCGGAAUUACUGGGCGUAAAGCGUGCGCAGGCGGUUGUGUAAGUCAGAUGUGAAAUCCCCGGGCUCAACCUGGGAACUGCAUUUGAGACUGCACGGCUAGAGUGUGGCAGAGGGGGGUAGAAUUCCACGUGUAGCAGUGAAAUGCGUAGAGAUGUGGAGGAAUACCGAUGGCGAAGGCAGCCCCCUGGGCCACUACUGACGCUCAUGCACGAAAGCGUGGGGAGCAAACAGG
rnacentral:rRNA from 1 species